CGAAGCCCACGGAGAAGUCCGAAGAUAGGAAGGGGACGGUUACCAUCCUUAGUUCUACACCGUUAUCAAAAUCUGCCUCCAGACAUCCUUCGGAAGUAUUCCAUUUAAAUCUGGCGUUGUUUCUUCCGCUGCUUUAGAACUACAGUGAAAUCCUAGCUCCUUAUUGACACGGCAAGGAUGUUCAUUACAUUUAUGAUCCUUCAUUCUGUGUCCUGCAACGGCUCUGGAGGAGAUAAAUCUGCAAACAAAGAGAAUGAUGUUCUCUUAAAUAGAAAUCACCUGAAAAGGGUAAAGCCAGUUACUAGGGUUAUGACAAAUGGGCUACAAAUUCCGGUUUGUCCAUCACAUGCCCCAAUUACUGCUGUAUAAAUGCCGUGCUGCUUUUUGUGGAGGUCAGCCACUCGAAACCUUGUCCCGUCGGAGGUGCCAUUGUAAGACGGUGAAUCAUUAUGAGAGUUUUGUCUUAAAUUGGAAAAUUGAUUAUUUAUGUCAACAUGUUGACCACGGAGUCUCCACGACAGUCACAAAGCACAGAUGUUAUUUUAUAUAAUAUAUUAUUAUUUCCAACGCCAUUGUGUAAUGUUGCUCUGCCAUUUGGAAAACUAACUUUGUAACGCCAUAAUAUGAUUUUAUAUUUUACGAGCUAUUGUUAGCAUGAUUAGCUCAAGGAG